UACGUAGGUGGCAAGCGUUGUCCGGAAUUACUGGGUGUAAAGGGCGUGUAGGCGGGACUUUAAGUCAGAUGUGAAAUACCCGAGCUUAACUCGGGUCGUGCAUUUGAAACUGAGGUUCUUGAGUGGUGGAGAGGAAAGCGGAAUUCCUAGUGUAGCGGUGAAAUGCGUAGAUAUUAGGAGGAACACCAGUGGCGAAGGCGGCUUUCUGGACACUAACUGACGCUGAGGCGCGAAAGCGUGGGGAG
rnacentral:rRNA from 1 species